AUGGCCAGUUCCAUGACGAGGGAUAUCAAAUCUUUCUGGUCACAAUAUGAUCCGGGUGGUUAUGGCACUAACAUGUGCCCAAUCCAUAGAGUCCCAGAACACAUUCGUGAGGUUGACCGUGUGGCCUACGAACCAAUCAUUAUAUCGUUUGGCCCGUAUCACCAUGGAGGCCAACACUUUCAAUACAUGGAGAAGAAAAAAUGGGAACAUUUAGACAGGGUACUAAAACUGAACUGUAAUAGAACUCUGCAUGAUUACAUUAAAGCAAUCGCCGAAGUAGAGAAGCAAGCAAGGAAAUGCUACUCGGAGCAGAUAAUAAUGGAAAGGAAAAAGUUUGUGCAGAUGCUUUUGUUGGAUGGGUGCUUCAUACUUGUGAAUAUUGAUGAAAAUGUCGGCACCAGGAUGUCAAAUUCCAGAACUUUGAACCAAGGAUCCACCCAAACAGAAGUUGAUGGAAACGUGACGGGAGAAGAGCUGGAACAGAUUUAUGUGGAAAUUAUUCAGGAAACAGGAACAAAUACCAGAGAGGAGGAUGCAAACCAACGGACAAGCGUUCAGAACAGUUACGGUCCCGGGGAUUGGUUGAGUGGCCCUGCAUGGCAUGACAUGCUCUCCUUGCUGGAGAACCAGAUACCCUUUUUCGUUAUGGAGAGGGUCUACGAGUUAGUAUCAGAGGUCCUCUUGCGUCAUUAUCCAAUAGCUAUACAAGAGAACGAUAGACCCAAACAUUUCCAUCAUCUGCUCCACUUAUAUCACACGUACUUGAGACCUAGUCAGAGAUUUGAUGAGGAGCUUCAGUAUCAGGGGAAGACAGGUUAUUUUCAUGGUCUUCUACGUCGAUGGAAUAUGUCAGGUAAAUCAGUUGACCCUGACAAAAACCUAGAGCAGAUGGAGCGCUUGGAAACAGGUAAGCUUUUUAAGCGUUGGCGUCGAGCAGAAGAAUACCAUGAAGCGGGGGUUCAGUUCAUGCGUAGGGAGUAUGACGGACAAAGUAGGCAUUCUCUGCUGGACAUAAGGUUCAUCAAUGGAGUUAUGGAAAUUCCGUGUUUGCCAGUUGACGAGUCCAGUGAAUCGGUUUUCAAGAACCUGCUAGCACUGGAGCAAAUGGACUACAGGUUCGGCAACGACAUCAGUGCCUAUGCCACUUUCAUGUCCCAGAUCAUGGAUACGCCUGCUGAUGCCACGCUGCUGGUUGAGAAAGGCAUAAUUGUGCAUAUGUUGGAUAGUGACGAAGAGGUGUCAGCUCUAUUCACUAGACUCACCAAGCAAUUGACAAUUAGGUUUGAUUUAAAAUAUUACUUAAAACCUUUGUGCCACAAGUUGGAAGCCCACUACCAGAAUCGCUUGAAUAGAUGGAUAGCUUGGUUAUGGCAUAACCACUUUGUAAACCCGUGGUUGGCGUUGGCAGCGUUCGCUGCUGUAGUGGUGCUUGUCUGCACCAUCGUCCAGACCAUAUAUACUGUGUUGCCCUUUGUCAAACCUGCAUAA
rnacentral:rRNA from 1 species